rnacentral:tRNA from 1 species
AUCUGAAUAGUUUAAUUUAAAAUGUUGAUUUGUGGCGUCGAUGAUGAAGUUAAUUUGCUUCUUUGGGUU